rnacentral:rRNA from 1 species
CGCUGGCGGCGUGCCUAAUACAUGCAAGUCGAACGGUCUUUUCUAUGGAAGCUUGCUUCCACUGAGAAGAUAGUGGCGAACGGGUGAGUAACACGUGGGUAACCUGCCCAUAAGAGGGGGAUAACAUCCGGAAACGGGUGCUAAUACCGCAUAGUUUUCUUGAUCGCAUGAUUGAGAAAGGAAAGACGGCCUUUGUGCUGUCGCUUAUGGAUGGACCCGCGGCGUAUUAGUUAGUUGGUGAGGUAACGGCUCACCAAGACGAUGAUACGUAGCCGACCUGAGAGGGUGAUCGGCCACAUUGGGACUGAGACACGGCCCAAACUCCUACGGGAGGCAGCAGUAGGGAAUCUUCCGCAAUGGACGAAAGUCUGACGGAGCAACGCCGCGUGAGUGAAGAAAAGGUUUUCGGAUCGUAAAACUCUGUUGUCAGAGAAGAACAAGUUGGAGAGUAACUGCUCCAGCCUUGACGGUAUCUGACCAGAAAGCCACGGCUAACUACGUGCCAGCCGCAGC